GGUCUUCGGAUGCUGACGAGUGGCGAACGGGUGAGUAAUACAUCGGAACGUGCCCGAUCGUGGGGGAUAACGCAGCGAAAGCUGUGCUAAUACCGCAUACGAUCUACGGAUGAAAGCGGGGGAUCGCAAGACCUCGCGCGGACGGAGCGGCCGAUGGCAGAUUAGGUAGUUGGUGGGAUAAAAGCUUACCAAGCCGACGAUCUGUAGCUGGUCUGAGAGGACGACCAGCCACACUGGGACUGAGACACGGCCCAGACUCCUACGGGAGGCAGCAGUGGGGAAUUUUGGACAAUGGGGGAAACCCUGAUCCAGCCAUGCCGCGUGCAGGAUGAAGGCCUUCGGGUUGUAAACUGCUUUUGUACGGAACGAAAAGGUCCUUUCUAAUAAAGAGGGCUCAUGACGGUACCGUAAGAAUAA
rnacentral:rRNA from 1 species